GCUGGGCGUGGUGGCGCACGCCUGUAAUCCCAGCUACUCAGGAGGCUGAGGCAGGAGAAUCGCUUGAGCCCGGGAGGUGGAGCUUGCAGUGAGCUGAGAUCGUGCCAUUGUACUCCAGCCUGGGUGACAGGGCAAGACUCUGUCUCAA
rnacentral:SRP_RNA from 2 species